rnacentral:rRNA from 1 species
GACGAACGCUGGCGGCGUGCUUAACACAUGCAAGUCGAACGAUGAAGCUGGAGCUUGCUCUGGUGGAUUAGUGGCGAACGGGUGAGUAACACGUGAGUAACCUGCCCUGGACUCUGGGAUAACCCCGAGAAAUCGGAGCUAAUACCGGAUAGGACCUCGGAUCGCAUGAUCUGGGGUGGAAAGUUUUUCGGUCUGGGAUGGACUCGCGGCCUAUCAGCUUGUUGGUGAGGUAAUGGCUCACCAAGGCCUCGACGGGUAGCCGGCCUGAGAGGGGAACCGGCGACGCUGGGACUGAGACACGGCCCAGACUCCUACGGGAGGCAGCAGGGGGGAACAUUGCACAAUGGGCGCAAGCCUGAUGCAGCAACGCCGCGUGCGGGAUGACGGCCUUCGGGUUGUAAACCGCUUUUAGUAAGGAAGAAGCCGCAAGGUGACGGUACUUGCAGAAAAAGGACCGGCUAACUACGUGCCAGCCGCCGCCGUAAGAC